UUUAAUUGAAGAGUUUGAUCAUGGCUCAGAUUGAACGCUGGCGGCAGGCCUAACACAUGCAAGUCGAGCGGCAGCACAGAGGAACUUGUUCCUUGGGUGGCGAGCGGCGGACGGGUGAGUAAUGCCUGGGAAAUUGCCCGGUAGAGGGGGAUAACCAUUGGAAACGAUGGCUAAUACCGCAUAACCUCGCAAGAGCAAAGCAGGGGACCUUCGGGCCUUGCGCUACCGGAUAUGCCCAGGUGGGAUUAGCUAGUUGGUGAGGUAAGGGCUCACCAAGGCGACGAUCCCUAGCUGGUCUGAGAGGAUGAUCAGCCACACUGGAACUGAGACACGGUCCAGACUCCUACGGGAGGCAGCAGUGGGGAAUAUUGCACAAUGGGCGCAAGCCUGAUGCAGCCAUGCCGCGUGUAUGAAGAAGGCCUUCGGGUUGUAAAGUACUUUCAGUAGGGAGGAAGGU
rnacentral:rRNA from 1 species